UACGUAGGUGGCAAGCGUUGUCCGGAUUUACUGGGUGUAAAGGGCGUGUAGGCGGGACUGCAAGUCAGAUGUGAAAUGCCGGGGCUUAACCCCGGAGCUGCAUUUGAAACUGUAGUUCUUGAGUAUCGGAGAGGCAGGCGGAAUUCCUAGUGUAGCGGUGAAAUGCGUAGAUAUUAGGAGGAACACCAGUGGCGAUGGCGGCCUGCUGGACGACAACUGACGCUGAGGCGCGAAGGCGUGGGGAGCAAAC
rnacentral:rRNA from 1 species